rnacentral:lncRNA from 1 species
GAAAGUCUUAAGUGUGUAUUGGCUGAAGGGCUGGAGAAAAUGCUCGGAAGCAAUGAAAGAGCUACAGGACAGCAAAGGACUCUGGGUGGCAGGUGGUCCCAACAGGAGACCAGUGAUGGGAACCAGCGCAAGGGUGUGGCCCAAGGAGAAAAGAGUGGAAGCUCAUGCCUGGGGGCUUCUAUUUCCUCACUGAAAUGCAGAGGCUCACUGAGUGUGCAGAGUUGCAUGAUUUGGGCCAUCGCACCUGUGCCGACCUGCUCUCUGCAGACUGGGACUUUCUUUCCCUGGUGCUGCCUGCCAUAACAGCUCAAUUCUGCAUAUCAGAUUCGCCAGUGCUACUCCACAGAGGGCUGCCUGUGAGCCCACACCAGGCAAAUACUGGAAAGGCUGCCACACUCAAUUUCCUGCUAGCAAGUAGGGUGAGGCCUUGUACCUCCACCCUAUCAUCACCUGAGGCUGGGUCUUUCUCCUGGAUCCUCUGUAAGCUCCCUCCAUGAACUGGGUUUGCUCUGCACCUUAAGCCUUACUAGCAUUAAAUUUUUAGUUACAAAACUGAUUCUUUCCCAAUCACCACUCUAGAUUUCCUCAACAUCCAACAAUGGUACAUAACAUAAUUCCUCCUACCUAGUUUCUAGUGUUGACUCUACAUUUCCCCCAAAGUUAAUAUUUACUGACAGUUGGAAAUUCAAACUGUAUGCACUUUUGGUUUGACCUGAAUGAAUAGUUUUGAUCUGAGUUCAAUAUCCUGGCUAAUGUGGUCUCCCCU